rfam:Desulfococcus multivorans DSM 2059 ctg30, whole genome shotgun sequence.
AUUAAAUACGCCAAACCUGCUGCGAAGCAGGGACGGAAAGCCACGGGUCUCGAGAUAGACAGCCGGGUUGCCUGAU